rnacentral:lncRNA from 1 species
UUCCCUGACUCCACUGAGCCCACACUCACCCCCUUCCUUGUUUACUCUUUUCCCUAUUGCAACUUAUAUUACUUACUAAUACUUUAUACUGUAGCACAGGGGUCAACAAAGUUUUCUGAAAAAGGGUUAGAGAGUAAAUAUUUUAAGCUUUGUGGGCCAUGCACUCUCAGUCACAGCUACUCAACUCUGCCCUUUCAACACAAAAGCAGCCACAGACCAUAUGUAAACAAAUGAUAGUGGAUGUGUUCUAAGAAAAUUUUGUUUAUGGACACUGAAAUUUGAAUUUUAUAGACUUUUCAUGUGUUACGAAAUUUUUUUUAACCAUUUGAAAUAUAAAAUGUAAAAAACCAGUUUUAGCUCCAAGACCUCACAGAACAGGCAGAUAUGGUCUGUGGCCCAUAGUUUGCUCACUCCUGCUCUAGCCCCACCCCUUCAAUCCACUCUGCACUCCACAGCUAGAGUUAUCGGUUAAAAAUUCAAAACACAAGCCGGGCGCGGUGGCUCAUGCCUGUAAUCCCAGCACUUUGGGAGGCUGAGGCAGGAGAAUGGCGUGAACGUGGGAGGCGGAGCUUGCAGUGAACCGAGAUCACGCCACUGCACUCUAGCCUGGGCGACAGAGCGAGACUCGGUCUCAAAAAAAAAAAAAA